UUAUUUUGCAAUUGGCAAGAAAAUGUGAAGAAACAGUUAUUUCACACUUCCAUACACCGGAUAAUGAUCACGAAGAAAUGCCUAAUACUGAUCACCCAUUUUAAUGCCUUCUCCAACUGUUAAUUCGGAUUUUUCAAAUAUUUUGGACUUUGAUGAGAAUUUUUUGGGUGAAAAUUAUAUACAGUUGGAUACAGCAAGUAAUAAAGUUAUCGGCGAUACAAUAAAUAAAAGUUUAGCUGUGUCGCUAACAGAAGAUCAGAUCCCAGAUAUAGGGUCUGUAACAUCAUCGCCAGCCCCUUCACUGACGGCAGAUUUGACAGCUAUCUUAAAUUCAGAUGACAGUUACGCAGAUAAGGACUAUUUACCUGGACAAUCUGAAAGUGAAACCAGUGACGACAACAUUGAUUUAUUGUCCAUUCAGAGAAAAAUAAGUCGUUCAAAGGCUAAUAUUUCCUCUACUAAUAUUCAAAGUAGUAUGUUAAGUUUUUAGAUCGUUAUAUUUAUUAAAUUUUAGAAUAACAAGAAAAAUUGAACAUAACUGAUCAAGCUGGACCUAGUGCUUCCUCAACAAUAAUUGGAGCAGAAAAGGCAAAAGUUCAUAUAGAUAAACCAUUAAAAAAGUGGUCCCGAGUUGUAAGAAAAGAGAGAAGUGAAAAAAUUCAUUCUGGACAAAGUUACGUAAAUAUAAGCGGUAAAAUGGUAAAUGCAAGAC